rnacentral:rRNA from 1 species
GGUUAAGCGACUAAGCGUACACGGUGGAUGCCCUGGCAGUCAGAGGCGAUGAAGGACGUGCUAAUCUGCGAUAAGCGCCGGUAAGGUGAUAUGAACCGUUAUAACCGGCGAUUUCCGAAUGGGGAAACCCAGUGUGAUUCGUCACACUAUCAUUACGUGAAUACAUAGCGUAAUGAAGCGAACCGGGGGAACUGAAACAUCUAAGUACCCCGAGGAAAAGAAAUCAACCGAGAUUCCCCCAGUAGCGGCGAGCGAACGGGGAGCAGCCCAGAGUCUGAAUCAGCAUGUGUGUUAGUGGAACGGUCUGGAAAGUCCGACGGUACAGGGUGAUAGUCCCGUACACAAAAACGCAUGUGUUGUGAACUCGAAGAGUAGGGCGGGACACGUGGUAUCCUGUCUGAAUAUGGGGGGACCAUCCUCCAAGGCUAAAUACUCCUGACUGACCGAUAGUGAACCAGUACCGUG